AUUGAACGCUGGCGGCAUGCCUUACACAUGCAAGUCGAACGGUAACAGGUCUUCGGAUGCUGACGAGUGGCGAACGGGUGAGUAAUACAUCGGAACGUGCCCGAUCGUGGGGGAUAACUACUCGAAAGAGUAGCUAAUACCGCAUACGAUCUACGGAUGAAAGCGGGGGAUCUUCGGACCUCGUGCGGACGGAGCGGCCGAUGGCAGAUUAGGUAGUUGGUGGGAUAAAAGCUUACCAAGCCGACGAUCUGUAGCUGGUCUGAGAGGACGACCAGCCACACUGGGACUGAGACACGGCCCAGACUCCUACGGGAGGCAGCAGUGGGGAAUUUUGGACAAUGGGCGAAAGCCUGAUCCAGCAAUGUCGCGUGCAGGAUGAAGGCCUUCGGGUUGUAAACUGCUUUUGUACGGAACGAAAAGACUCCUUCUAAUACAGGGGGUCCAUGACGGUACCGUAAGAAUAAGCACCGGCUAACUACGUGCCAGCCGCCGCUGUAACAC
rnacentral:rRNA from 1 species